rnacentral:rRNA from 1 species
AAAAUCAGGGGCUCAACCCCUGACCUGCAUCCGAUACGGUCGAGCUAGAGUUUGGUAGGGGAGACUGGAAUUCCUGGUGUAGCGGUGGAAUGCGCAGAUAUCAGGAGGAACACCGAUGGCGAAGGCAGGUCUCUGGGCCAAUACUGACACUGAGGAGCGAAACGUGGGGAGCGAACAGGAUUAGAUACCCUGGUAGUCCACGCCGUAAACGGUGGGCGCUAGUUGUGCGAACCUUCCACGGUUUGUGCGACGCAGCUACGCAUUANGCGCCCCGCCUGGGAGUACGAUCGCAAGAUUAAAACUCAAAGGAAUUGAC